GUUCUUGGAGCGUCAGCAGUGAAUUCCCCAGACGAUUAUUAAAAGAAGUCCUUGAAAACAACCACUAAUGACAUUUCUGCAAAAGAUGAAGAUACCAGGUCACCGAUUAAAUCACCCGAAAAGAUGACGAUGUUCAGCUUAUCAUGUUCUCAGUGCAGCUCAGAAUCUGAGGGGGCCAUCAACAGCUGCGAGAAAAUCUGGGCAAAGCACCUCUAGUCAGAGGUUAUUAUCAAGGAAAUCAUAUGUUCUACAAACAUCUUUUCAAGAUUCACAGACCUGGUGAAAUUCUUGUUUGCAAACUUGAAGGAACUGGGAAAAAACACCUGGAGCUUAUUUUGUCUCUCAUUGUUUUACUCUUCCUGAAGACUUUGAUAUGGAAUGACAGCAAUUGAAACCAGCUGCAGAAACUACCCAACCAAGGAAAAGAGGUGUUAGAUGUUCUUCCCUUUGCUGCUAAUGGAAAUGACUAUCUGAGCAGAAAUUAAGUGUUUACAAAUGGAUGAAUGUACAAAAUUGACAAAUUCUGCAUUGCUCUAAGUUAGUACCUAUUUUUUAUAUACAAAUGUGUUGUAUUAAAUAGUAUAUAACAUGCAAGUGAAAAGUGGUUUUCUCACCCACUGAUUGGCUAGUUUGGAAAAGAACAGCACGUACUAUUUAGCACCAAGUGACCAAUGAGACAA